AAGAAGACCUCAUCAAGAGAGCAAGAUGAUUUUGAAAUUGUGUAUUUCAAGGAUAACGUUGAAAUUCAUCCUAUACAAUUUGAUACAGAAAGGAUAAAUGGGCGUUUAAAGUUAAGCAAACAAGGAUCUCUGUUAUUCUUGGCAUGGAUCCCAUACAAGUGGCUAACCACAAAUCAAAGGUUGAACGAAAAUGAUAGGAUUCUUUACACCAUUCGUGAAGUUGCUUUCACAGAUAUCCGGUCAGUUCGUGGACACACUCCGACAUUUAGAUGGCAAUACGUGAG